rnacentral:misc_RNA from 1 species
GGCCAUCUUAUUAUUAUUAGUAUGUACUAGCAUAAAUUUUUAAAAUGGAGCCAGAGAAGGCCUCCGUCCUAUAAUAUUUUGAUGGUGUUCAACAAAGGGUGAGUAAAAUAAAAUUUAUAAAUUAUAUGUGAAUGAACAUCCAAGGUAGAAAGCAUCUAAGAUAAUCAAGCAAGGGGUCCAAUGAUACAAGAGCCAUGUGUUUUCAUCAAACCAUGCAUUUAAAAACUAAUCAAACACUAGUGGAUUCAAUGUAUAAUAAUAAUAAUACAAGUGUUUAUAUAUUUAUCAAAAAGGGUCAAUUGCUAAUAAAUAAAUUUAUCUGACCUUAAUACACAUUUGGUGGCUAAUAUUAUACUAACGCAUGUAUUAGUGACUAGAAAAAUUCAGGCCAACAUCCUAUAAUUGAGACCUCCAAUGCCCAAAAUCCAUGAACCUGGAACACCAUUGUCUCAUCAUUCUUUUGCUUUUCUUUUUUUUUUUUGCUGCUUCUUGUGGACCAUUUGGAAAAACCCAGAAUUUCCCGAACCAUCCUUCAGGUGCUGCAAAUGCGGCCUGCCAAAAGCACCCGCCAACAGAACCACAAAGGCUUUGGUAAAAGACGGUUAGAUUAAGAAAAAGAGAUGGAGAAAAUAUUUUGACAAGCCCUUCAAUGCCAAUUGGAUGGAGAAACUCGGAGAUUUUACUACCAAUGUUGGCAAAAAGACGUCAAUUGUACAUGCUGGAUUAGAGUCUCUAACGUAUGGCAGCUAUAAGAAAAGAAGAGAGAAAAAAAUCUGGUAUCACUUUGAUACAAAAUACCUCUUCUUCAACCACUAUUAUAAGCAACUUCAGAGAGUAAGCACUGUCUUCUCUUUCUCAAGUUAAAACA